ACUUUGUGGAGGCGUUAUUUACAUUCACUUCACAAGGCUCAAUAAUGUGUGCACAUCAUGAAAUCAAUAUGUAUUGAUCAUGUGUUUGAAACUCAGAUAAGGUUGCAGUGAAAUCAUUUCAAAAAGGCCGACUGUCCUUCAAAUGGUUCGAAAUGGAAUUUAUUCAUUCACCGAAGGAAAGGAAAUAAAGUGUCAAAGUGAGUUUUUCAGCCAUACCAUAACCAUUUAGUAUUCAUUUUUAUAUUGGUUGUUGUAGACCCAUUCCAAUCCCCAGCAACGUUAACCUGCAGAAGGAAAGGGCAGUUUACAUGUGCUUCACACUCGAAGGUCACAGAGAUUAUUACGUAAAAGACCCAUCCCCAGCAAAGUCAACCUGCAAAAGGAAGGGAGCGUCCGCAUGUCCUUCACACUAGUAGACCCACCCCCAGCAACCUGCAGAAGGAAAGGCCAGU